GUUUAGUUAGACUUACUAUCACUUGUGUUUGUUGCUUGCCUUCGUGCAAGCCAUGUAUAUUGAAAUGUGAUCCUGGGAAUUGUUUAAUUUCUUUAUACAUGUAUUCGUUGUUGUCGAGCCUUGGGCGAACAGAGGAGGUGCUGUUCGUUCGGCGUCUGUGCGCGGGCCCGGAUCGACCAAAUUGGCGAUAGCGGGACGUGACAGAUAAAGUGGUAUCAGUUUCAGUUAUACAGUUCAGUUUGAAAGUUUUAAAUUAUAGUAAUUUUUUUCAUGUUUAGCUAGCUUUACUAUCACUUGUGAUUGUUGCUUGCCUUCGUGCAAGCCAUGUAUACUGAAAUGUGAUCUUGGGAAUUGUUUAUUUCUUUAUACAUGUGUUCGUUGUUGUUGAGCCUUGGGCGAACAAAGGAGGUGCUGUUCGUUCGGCGUCUGUGUACGGGCCCGGAUCGACCAAAUUGGCGAUAGCGGGGCGUGACAGAUAGCCCGUCAUCCAGACCCUGGCUCAGCCGAGACUCAUCUCACACUUCCGGCUGGUAAUUGGCUCUGAUACCAUCUGUGACGCCCCGACUUCCCAGGGGGUCACCCAUCCUAGGGCUACUCCCGUCCUAGCACGCUUAACUCUCUUAACCUCUUGGGUCUAGCCACCACCCAAAAUGCUUAAGCCGGGUUAAGAGUUUAGCCCCAUUAUAUCUUAUAUAUAGGACUAUCUGGGGUCUCACAUAAAAG
rnacentral:lncRNA from 1 species